CCUACGGGAGGCAGCAGUGGGGAAUAUUGGACAAUGGGGGGAACCCUGAUCCAGCCAUGCCGCGUGUGUGAAGAAGGCCCUCGGGUUGUAAAGCACUUUCAGUGAGGAAGAACGCCUGGUGGUUAAUACCCAUCAGGAAAGACAUCACUCACAGAAGAAGCACCGGCUAACUCCGUGCCAGCAGCCGCGGUAAUACGGAGGGUGCGAGCGUUAAUCGGAAUUACUGGGCGUAAAGCGCGCGUAGGUGGCUUGAUAAGCCGGUUGUGAAAGCCCCGGGCUCAACCUGGGAACGGCAUCCGGAACUGUCAAGCUAGAGUGCAGGAGAGGAAGGUAGAAUUCCCGGUGUAGCGGUGAAAUGCGUAGAGAUCGGGAGGAAUACCAGUGGAGAAGGCGGCCUUCUGGACUGACACUGACACUGAGGUGCGAAAGAGUGGGUAGCAAACAGGAUUAGAGACCCUGGUAGUC
rnacentral:rRNA from 1 species